rnacentral:rRNA from 1 species
UACGAAGGGGGCUAGCGUUGCUCGGAAUGACUGGGCGUAAAGGGCGCGUAGGCGGCUUGCACCGUCAGAUGUGGAAUUCCUGGGCUUAACCUGGGGGCUGCAUUUGAUACGUGUGGGCUUGAGUGCGGAAGAGGGUCGUGGAAUUCCCAGUGUAGAGGUGAAAUUCGUAGAUAUUGGGAAGAACACCGGUGGCGAAGGCGGCGACCUGGUCCGUGACUGACGCUGAGGCGCGAAAGCGUGGGGAGCAAACAGG